GAAGCAGAGAAAAAAGAAACAACUGCAGUAACAACUGGUAUCCACAAGAUGGUGCUUUAAAGCCAGUUAAUUCUUCCUUUAGCAUAAUUACGUAUCUGGAAAUCACAGAUCAGAUCAGUCUAUUUCCUUCAUCCAAAUAUUGCUAUUUCUAACGGUAAAAUAGACUUAACAUAUUUAAUGACAUGAAUAUCACUGUAAACACUUUCAUCACAGUGAGUCUCUGUGAGGGUGGAAGGACCAGGUCACUGCCCUGGCAAUUCACCCCUACCCUGGGCUGGCCAGCAGCCCUGCAGGUCAACCUCAUCUAUUCAGAGAUCUUCAUUCUACCCAGCCACUCUGCUAAAAAGGAUUCUUCUAAAGGUAAUAAGAAAGUCUUCCUAAUGGACACCAGCUGACUUGAAUGGUUGACUCUGAUUUACAACCUGAGGCCCUAUGCAAAUAUAAAUUCAGCACUCCUCCCAUCCCUUCGUCUCCAAUGAAGUCAGCUCCUGGAAUCUCUUCCAGAAUCAACAGGUUUCAUGUAUGAUGCAAUGUGAACAGAGCCAUGAAGGGUGAGAGAGAAGACAAAUGGCAAGAGAAAAGGACGCUGGAGUGAAAAAGCAGAAAGCAUGUUUAAUAAACUAAGCACCACCAAGCUGUCUAGAGCAAAGGUCUUGCAGUUUUAGAAAUGAGAAAUUUGGGCAUGUAAACAUAC